GACACAGCUGCGUCUCAUCUGAAUUCAGUCAUGGCUUUGAGGGAAGGCACGGGCUGGUUCUCGGUAUUAGUGUCGCCAUAAAGAAGAUCGCAUUGAUCUCCCGGUGCAGCCUCCAGCGUCGCUGGGACCGUGGAUCGCUGGUGUUUACCGUGAGGCGCUCUGAGUAGCAGGAAGUGGAUUAAACCGGUGUUGUCAGCUCCGUUUGUCCGUGUGAGCUGGCGGUGAUGCUGGGGCCGUGUGUGUGCAUUACACGAAAAAUAAAAGUAAUAAUAAUAAUAAUAAUAAUAAUAAUAAUAAUAAUAAAACUUAAUAAUAUAAAGUUAGGAAAUUAAAGGUUCGUGAAUGCUUUUUUUGUUGAAUUGAUAAACAAGAAAAACACUUAAAUUGUUUUCAUUUUUGUUUUAUUCGACAUUGAAAAUGUUUGCUGGUCGGCUUCUUCAGCUGCUUUAAGUGCUACCUUCAGACCGUCGUCGGUGAAGUAUAUUUCACUUUUGUCUCAGUUUCAUAUAUUGUUGUGUAUUUGCUGUUUCUCUGAGGCAGGCAUGCAUUGGGUCACGUCUUUGCCCACGAUUAGUCGGUGGCACGUUGCUGACAGCGCUCGUUGUUAAGGAGAACCGACUGGGUGCGUGAAAGCCUGCGUCGUCGAGUUGAACGAUGAGAUUUUUCCAAGUUAAUUUUAAGCCACCAGCACUUUAACCGCACAAACAAACAGAGCUGACAACGCCGGUUUUAUUAGUUUCCUGUUACUCAGAGCGGCUGACGGUGAACAUCAGCAAUCCACGACCCCAGCGCCGCUGCCAGCUCCACAGACCCAGUGCCCCCAGCGCCGCCGCCAGCGCCACGACCCCAGCGCCGCCGCCAGCUCCACACACCCAGUGCCCCCAGCGCCGCCGCCAGCUCCACACACCCAGUGCCCCCAGCGCCGCCGCCAGCUCCACACACCCAGCGCCGCUGCCAGCUCCACACACCCAGCGUUGCUGGAGGCUGCAGUGGAAGGUCAAUGGGAGUCCCCGUACGAUGACAGAAAUAUCGAGAUCCAGCCCGUGCCUUCUCUCAAAGACCAAAUAUACACGAAGCCAUGAGCGAAGACGCAGCUGUGUCCGCUGAAGUUCAGCGACUCUUCUUUCCAUUGUUCCAGAAAUGUUGUUGUUGUUGGAGUUGUUGUUGGUUACAGCCAGUCUCAGCAAGUUAAACUGCUUUAUUCUCUUUCUCUCCACAACUGCCUUUAGAAUCUGCUCAGCACCCACUAUUUAUGUGUUUGGAGAGGCCUGCCCACAAGUUUUGGCAUACCAGUCACCGCUACGCUGUGGAGGAUUUCAUCGCUUUCAGCUUCGCUCGUCCCGACAUGGAGGAUGUCUUCGGUCCUCACCCCAUCGUAGAUUUCUUCGUCUUUGCCCACGAUUAGUCGGUGGCACGUUGCUGACAGCGCUCGUUGUUAAGGAGAACCGACUGGGUGCGUGAAAGCCUGCGUCGUCGAGUUGAACGAUGAGAUCUUUCCAAGUUCAUUUUAAGCCACCAGCACUUUAACCGCACAAACAAACAGAGCUGACAACGCCGGUUUUAUUAGUUUCCUGUUACUCAGAGUCCUCACGGUGAACAUCAGCAAUCCACGACCCCAGCGCCGCUGCCAGCUCCACACACCCAGUGCCCCCAUGCAGCGCCGCCGACAGCGCCGCUGCCAGCUUCACGGCCCCAGCGUCGCUGCAGUGGAAGGUCAAUGGGAGUCCCCGUACGAUGACAGAAAUGUCGAGAACCAGCCCGUGCCUUCCCUCAAAGACCAAAUAUACACGAAGCCAUGAGCGAAGACGCAGCUGUGUCCACUGAAGUUCAGCGACUCUUCUUUCCAUUGUUCCAGAAAUGUUAAUGUUGGGGAGUUGUUGUUGGUUGUUCGGUCCUCCCUACAGGGAGGAUGUCUUCACAACGUGGAUUUCUUGGUUUCUAGCUUCGGUCCUCCCCCCGACAUGGAAGAUGUCUUCGGUCCUCCCCACAACGUGGAUUUAUUUCUUGGUUUCUAGCUUCGGUCCUCCCCCCGACAUGGAGGGUGUAUGUCUUCGGUCCUUCCCAAAACGUGGAUUUCCUCGGUCCUCCCGACAUGGAGAAUUUCUUUGGUCUUCCCCACAUGGUUUGAACCGCUCUCCUGCCAAGCCUCGAACCUGCGACCUUCUUGCUGUGAGACUGCAGUGCUAACCACCACCCCACCGUGCAGCCCAUGUUGAAGCGUGAAGCAGUAAGUAGUAAAUCCUAAUCGAGAGGACUCCGCAUGCCGCUGGUAAAUUGACUCUGUGAGAAAGCCCUACAGGUCAAGGUUCAACAGCACCCUCUGCUGGCGAGAAGAAGAAUGAUGUCUGGACAGGAUGGGGCUUGUUCAGCCACACUGACAAGCCGCAGACUAGUUGCAAGUAGACUGUACGAAGCUGCGUGGACUUUCUGUGUGUUUUCCCAGUUAAAUGUGCGUUCUUGAAGAAAUACCACACACACACACACACAGAGAGAGAGAGAGAGACACGUAUACCAGUAUCCUGUACAACAAUGUUAAACCUCACAAGUUCUAUUAAAGAAGAAGAAAACAGAUCUCUCUCUCCAAGUGCCAUGAUUCUCUGACCGGAAUCAUAGUCCAUAAUCUGCCGCCUCAACCAGCAUUCCUAUUAUUUGAGACUCGUCCCCUCAAAUAGACUCACUUACAGAAGAAUCAGAAGGUAAAAGUUCUCCCACCGAGAAGGAAAGAGUUUCACAAAAAUAUGCCCUACCAACGAGUCUGUACAAGAAACGUCCGUGAAAGCAGAAUCUGCUCAGCACCCACUAUUUAUGUGUUUGGAGAGGCCUGCCCACAAGUUUUGGCAUACCAGUCACCGCUACGCUGUGGAGGAUUUCAUCGCUUUCAGCUUCGCUCGUCCCGACAUGGAGGAUGUCUUCGGUCCUCACCCCAUCGUAGAUUUCUUCGUCUUUGCCCACGAUUAGUCGGUGGCACGUUGCUGACAGCGCUCGUUGUUAAGGAGAACCGACUGGGUGCGUGAAAGCCUGCGUCGUCGAGUUGAACGAUGAGAUCUUUCCAAGUUCAUUUUAAGCCACCAGCACUUUAACCGCACAAACAAACAGAGCUGACAACGCCGGUUUUAUUAGUUUCCUGUUACUCAGAGUCCUCACGGUGAACAUCAGCAAUCCACGACCCCAGCGCCGCUGCCAGCUCCACACACCCAGUGCCCCCAUGCAGCGCCGCCGACAGCGCCGCUGCCAGCUUCACGGCCCCAGCGUCGCUGCAGUGGAAGGUCAAUGGGAGUCCCCGUACGAUGACAGAAAUGUCGAGAACCAGCCCGUGCCUUCCCUCAAAGACCAAAUAUACACGAAGCCAUGAGCGAAGACGCAGCUGUGUCCACUGAAGUUCAGCGACUCUUCUUUCCAUUGUUCCAGAAAUGUUAAUGUUGGGGAGUUGUUGUUGGUUGUUCGGUCCUCCCUACAGGGAGGAUGUCUUCACAACGUGGAUUUCUUCGUUUCUAGCUUCGGUCCUCCCCCCGACAUGGAAGAUGUCUUCGGUCCUCCCCACAACGUGGAUUUAUUUCUUGGUUUCUAGCUUCGGUCCUCCCCCCGACAUGGAGGGUGUAUGUCUUCGGUCCUUCCCAAAACGUGGAUUUCCUCGGUCCUCCCGACAUGGAGAAUUUCUUUGGUCUUCCCCACAUGGUUUGAACCGCUCUCCUGCCAAGCCUCGAACCUGCGACCUUCUUGCUGUGAGACUGCAGUGCUAACCACCACCCCACCGUGCAGCCCAUGUUGAAGCGUGAAGCAGUAAGUAGUAAAUCCUAAUCGAGAGGACUCCGCAUGCCGCUGGUAAAUUGACUCUGUGAGAAAGCCCUACAGGUCAAGGUUCAACAGCACCCUCUGCUGGCGAGAAGAAGAAUGAUGUCUGGACAGGAUGGGGCUUGUUCAGCCACACUGACAAGCCGCAGACUAGUUGCAAGUAGACUGUACGAAGCUGCGUGGACUUUCUGUGUGUUUUCCCAGUUAAAUGUGCGUUCUUGAAGAAAUGUAAGUGCUUUCCACUUCUGAGUUAUGGAUAAGUUGUUCAUUAUUCCAAUUCAUGUUACUGUGGUUUACAUUUGAUGCUGGUAAUGCUGUUAGGACAUUUUUUUUUGCUCCUUGCUGCUUGUUAAUGAUAGAAUUUGCACUGUUUCAACCCCCAAUACUGUGUCUACGCUAUCAUACACUUAUAAAGCAGUUUCUUUGUAAUGUUUAUUGAUUUAACUGCUGAAUAUUAUGUUGAACAUUUUGUAAUACAUUUUAUUAUUUUCAUUUCAGACCACACACACACACACACAGAGAGAGAGAGAGAGAGACACGUAUACCAGUAUCCUGUACAACAAUGUUAAACCUCACAAGUUCUAUUAAAGAAGAAGAAAACAGAUCUCUCUCUCCAAGUGCCAUGAUUCUCUGACCGGAAUCAUAGUCCAUAAUCUGCCGCCUCAACCAGCAUUCCUAUUAUUUGAGACUCGUCCCCUCAAAUAGACUCACUUACAGAAGAAUCAGAAGGUAAAAGUUCUCCCACCGAGAAGGAAAGAGUUUCACAAAAAUAUGCCCUACCAACGAGUCUGUACAAGAAACGUCCGUGAAAGCAGAAUCUGCUCAGCACCCACUAUUUAUGUGUUUGGAGAGGCCUGCCCACAAGUUUUGGCAUACCAGUCACCGCUACGCUGUGGAGGAUUUCAUCGCUUUCAGCUUCGCUCGUCCCGACAUGGAGGAUGUCUUCGGUCCUCACCCCAUCGUAGAUUUCUUCGUCUUUGCCCACGAUUAGUCGGUGGCACGUUGCUGACAGCGCUCGUUGUUAAGGAGAACCGACUGGGUGCGUGAAAGCCUGCGUCGUCGAGUUGAACGAUGAGAUCUUUCCAAGUUCAUUUUAAGCCACCAGCACUUUAACCGCACAAACAAACAGAGCUGACAACGCCGGUUUUAUUAGUUUCCUGUUACUCAGAGUCCUCACGGUGAACAUCAGCAAUCCACGACCCCAGCGCCGCUGCCAGCUCCACAGACCCAGUGCCCCCAUGCAGCGCCGCCGACAGCGCCGCUGCCAGCUUCACGGCCCCAGCGUCGCUGCAGUGGAAGGUCAAUGGGAGUCCCCGUACGAUGACAGAAAUGUCGAGAACCAGCCCGUGCCUUCCCUCAAAGACCAAAUAUACACGAAGCCAUGAGCGAAGACGCAGCUGUGUCCACUGAAGUUCAGCGACUCUUCUUUCCAUUGUUCCAGAAAUGUUAAUGUUGGGGAGUUGUUGUUGGUUGUUCGGUCCUCCCUACAUGGAGGAUGUCUUCACAACGUGGAUUUCUUCGUUUCUAGCUUCGGUCCUCCCCCCGACAUGGAAGAUGUCUUCGGUCCUCCCCACAACGUGGAUUUAUUUCUUGGUUUCUAGCUUCGGUCCUCCCCCCGACAUGGAGGGUGUAUGUCUUCGGUCCUUCCCAAAACGUGGAUUUCCUCGGUCCUCCCGACAUGGAGAAUUUCUUUGGUCUUCCCCACAUGGUUUGAACUGCUCUCCUGCCAAGCCUCGAACCUGCGACCUUCUUGCUGUGAGACUGCAGUGCUAACCACCACCCCACCGUGCAGCCCAUGUUGAAGCGUGAAGCAGUAAGUAGUAAAUCCUAAUCGAGAGGACUCCGCAUGCCGCUGGUAAAUUGACUCUGUGAGAAAGCCCUACAGGUCAAGGUUCAACAGCACCCUCUGCUGGCGAGAAGAAGAAUGAUGUCUGGACAGGAUGGGGCUUGUUCAGCCACACUGACAAGCCGCAGACUAGUUGCAAGUAGACUGUACGAAGCUGCGUGGACUUUCUGUGUGUUUUCCCAGUUAAAUGUGCGUUCUUGAAGAAAUACCACACACACACACACACACAGAGAGAGAGAGAGAGAGACACGUAUACCAGUAUCCUGUACAACAAUGUUAAACCUCACAAGUUCUAUUAAAGAAGAAGAAAACAGAUCUCUCUCUCCAAGUGCCAUGAUUCUCUGACCGGAAUCAUAGUCCAUAAUCUGCCGCCUCAACCAGCAUUCCUAUUAUUUGAGACUCGUCCCCUCAAAUAGACUCACUUACAGAAGAAUCAGAAGGUAAAAGUUCUCCCACCGAGAAGGAAAGAGUUUCACAAAAAUAUGCCCUACCAACGAGUCUGUACAAGAAACGUCCGUGAAAGCAGAAUCUGCUCAGCACCCACUAUUUAUGUGUUUGGAGAGGCCUGCCCACAAGUUUUGGCAUACCAGUCACCGCUACGCUGUGGAGGAUUUCAUCGCUUUCAGCUUCGCUCGUCCCGACAUGGAGGAUGUCUUCGGUCCUCACCCCAUCGUAGAUUUCUUCGUCUUUGCCCACGAUUAGUCGGUGGCACGUUGCUGACAGCGCUCGUUGUUAAGGAGAACCGACUGGGUGCGUGAAAGCCUGCGUCGUCGAGUUGAACGAUGAGAUCUUUCCAAGUUCAUUUUAAGCCACCAGCACUUUAACCGCACAAACAAACAGAGCUGACAACGCCGGUUUUAUUAGUUUCCUGUUACUCAGAGUCCUCACGGUGAACAUCAGCAAUCCACGACCCCAGCGCCGCUGCCAGCUCCACACACCCAGUGCCCCCAUGCAGCGCCGCCGACAGCGCCGCUGCCAGCUUCACGGCCCCAGCGUCGCUGCAGUGGAAGGUCAAUGGGAGUCCCCGUACGAUGACAGAAAUGUCGAGAACCAGCCCGUGCCUUCCCUCAAAGACCAAAUAUACACGAAGCCAUGAGCGAAGACGCAGCUGUGUCCACUGAAGUUCAGCGACUCUUCUUUCCAUUGUUCCAGAAAUGUUAAUGUUGGGGAGUUGUUGUUGGUUGUUCGGUCCUCCCUACAUGGAGGAUGUCUUCACAACGUGGAUUUCUUCGUUUCUAGCUUCGGUCCUCCCCCCGACAUGGAAGAUGUCUUCGGUCCUCCCCACAACGUGGAUUUAUUUCUUGGUUUCUAGCUUCGGUCCUCCCCCCGACAUGGAGGGUGUAUGUCUUCGGUCCUUCCCAAAACGUGGAUUUCCUCGGUCCUCCCGACAUGGAGAAUUUCUUUGGUCUUCCCCACAUGGUUUGGCUCUCCUGCCAAGCCUCGAACCUGCGACCUUCUUGCUGUGAGACUGCAGUGCUAACCACCACCCCACCGUGCAGCCCAUGUUGAAGCGUGAAGCAGUAAGUAGUAAAUCCUAAUCGAGAGGACUCUGCAUGCCGCUGGUAAAAUGACUCUGUGAGAAAGCCCUGCAGGUCAAGGUUCAACAGCACCCUCUGCUGGCGAGAAGAAGAAUGAUGUCUGGACAGGAUGGGGCUUGUUCAGCCACACUGACAAGCCGCAGACUAGUUGCAAGUAGACUGUACGAAGCUGCGUGGACUUUCUGUGUGUUUUCCCAGUUAAAUGUGCGUUCUUGAAGAAAUGUAAGUGCUUUCCACUUCUGAGUUAUGGAUAAGUUGUUCAUUAUUCCAAUUCAUGUUACUGUGGUUUACAUUUGAUGCUGGUAAUGCUGUUAGGACAUUUUUUUUUGCUCCUUGCUGCUUGUUAAUGAUAGAAUUUGCACUGUUUCAACCCCCAAUACUGUGUCUACGCUAUCAUACACUUAUAAAGCAGUUUCUUUGUAAUGUUUAUUGAUUUAACUGCUGAAUAUUAUGUUGAACAUUUUGUAAUACAUUUUAUUAUUUUCAUUUCAGACCACACACACACACACACAG